rnacentral:tRNA from 2 species
GUCCCGUUCGUCUAGAGGCCUAGGACACCGCCCUUUCACGGCGGCGACACGGGUUCGAAUCCCGUACGGGACG